rnacentral:lncRNA from 1 species
GUUAGACCCAGCUUCAUAGCAUGAAUUCCAGCAGUGAGAAGGGGCUGUGAUCAAGGGAAUAAACACACUCCUGAGCACAAUACAUUUACCCUGGCUUGGUUUGUGGCCUCCUGCACUGGUUGGGAAGAAGUGGGAUCAGCAGGGAGAAGUGCUGGGAGAACUUAAUGAUGACUUAAUGUGAGAAGGCUAUUGAAUUUCUGGGACAUUGUUCACAGAAUUAUCUACACUGUUUGAAGGUGUAAUUAUGCCAGACUGAUAUGAGAAACGGGCACAAGAAUUGGAUCAUUCAGAAUUUAAGGGUCUCUCUGAUUUUGUUCCACCCAGAAGAGGGGAGAUGUGGUCUGAAACACCAACAGCAGAGCAAUGACCUGUGGAGGGAAGAUUAAUAGCCUAAAUUGAC